AGACUCUUUGGCAGCACAUACACUAAAAUUAGAACGAUAAAGAGAAGGUUUGCAUGGCCCCUACACAAGGAUGACUUGCAAAUUUGUGAUGCCAUUCCACAUAUUU